rnacentral:lncRNA from 1 species
UCCGACAGUAGAAUUAGGGGUACAAGAUACCCACCUGAGAGAAAAAAAUAAAUAUAUAUAGAGCAUCUCAUUCUCUUGAAAAAGUUUCAAAGUGCAAGGAAGGUAUGUAUCCCCUCAAAAGAGCAAAAGUAGAAUUAGACUUUCACCAUUGUUAUCACCAUCAUCACCAUACACCAUUCAUUCCCCACACAUGCACAUCCUGAUUUGACUUAUUGACUUGUUUCUCUGGAUCCAUGGUUUGACUAUGCAAUAAAUGUCUUGUACGUGUGUAUACUUUAUCUCCCACCUAUGAGCUCCAGAUAUCAAAGCGUUAUUAGAGUAGGAUGAGAGAGAAGGCAAUGUCACUAUGCCUUAUACUACAAAUACCACAUACUUUGAGAGAAGGCAUAUACCAUCACUGCCUUGGUAAGGAUCCAGAAAUACCAUAAAAGAGAGAUCUGAGAGAGUCAUACAAAGGAAUCUCUGAGUUUUAUUUGAAAAACUGCAAAAACUACAGAGCUAUAGCUCAUCAAGAAUAAAAGACAUGGCGCUUGGCUAGACCGUUCUAUCUUUUAGCUGCUCAAGACAUAAGUGACGGUUGCAAGCCCCAUCGUGAAAGGUAAAAUGAGUAAGUUUUAAGUCUUAACAGUUUACUCUAACUCAGAGAUGAGACCUCAUUUGAAAGCAUGUGUACCAUCAACAUUUUAAGGUAUUACAGCAACUUCUGAUCCAUCACUGAGACUAUCCUUGCUCAGGGACGAGCAAAAGGUAAGCUUGGGGGAGUUUGUUGACGGUCCUUAUGUAUAAAAUAUAAUCAUCAAAUAGAUAACGAAAAGGAUCCAAAUGCGACCAACACCCAGACUUCCACGAGUUUUGGUGUUUGUCCAUUUCUGCAUGGGGUUAUCAGAGAAUAUGGAGGAAAGGUCCACAUGUCGGGUUUCCAUAGAGAUAUUAACGUGCACCGUAAUUAUCCAACAUCUAGAAGAGUCCAGAAGCCACGGGAACGAGCGGGAGGCCGAGCCGGCCCGGGGGCUGGGCGCCCGCCUCCCCCCUUGGGCGCCCGCCCAAGGCUCUCAGCCAAUCAGGCUCCGUCUCGCGGAUAAUGCUCCACCGACCUAAAGGAUUAAGGAAAAUCGUGCGAUUAAGGUCGGUUUGAUCUGACGGCCCGUAUUCAUUUGGAGGGGCUAUAUAAGCAGGCCGCCUGGCCCAUGGAGCGGACGACUCAUUCUCAUUCCUCAAACCCUAAUUCAUUCAUCAAGAGGAGAGUCUCUGAUCAAGCCCUAGACCCACCACAUCAACUAGAUCUCUAGUUUAGCAUAGCUACAUAGGAUUAGAACUAGAAGGAGUCAAUCUUUGAUUGGUUUCUGGAUCUGUCAAGAGGAUUCUUGGUAAUUCCUCUACUGUUCUUCAUUUGUUCAUCAUUGUUAUUCAAUAUUAUGAAUACAACUUUGUUCUAUUUCAAUAAACUGAUUAUGACUUUGCUCUACUUGUUUAUAUUUGCAAUUAUAUCGUUCUUAGUUUAUCAUGCUUAUAUGCUUGGCUUAGUUAGAUUGGAAUUAUAUACAUGUUUAGGAUCAUAUAGCGUUUAUCCAUCGGAUCCAUGGGUAAAUGAUAGAUAUUGUGUAGGCGUGGUGCCUAUACUAUAUUUAUAUGUGAUUGUACCCUAUGUGCUGGAUCGUGGGGUAGUUCGUGGUGGUGACAGCUCCAUUGAUUCUUAAAUAGUCCCCCUCCCGUGUAUAGGGCAGGCAAAGCAACAUUAUUACAUGGGAGUGAUUGCUAUGUUUCUCAUCUUCCUUGAUAAUAUCACUAUGCAUGGACGUAGUCCUUUCUCGCAAUGAUUGCCAAGUAUAAUUGCACUAACUAUGAUAUGCUAGAUUUUAUAGUUAAGAAUAACUUAGGAAAUAUUCUUGUAGUUCAUCCUAAUACCAUGCUAAUGACUUGCUAGAAUAUCUGUUGAGGUGCUUAUCAUUAUUAUAUGUGGCUACUUAUGCUGAUCAGAUUAGUUAUCUUUGUCUCCAUUCAUACUUUAUCUAUAUUUUUGUGACAUUUAUCCCUGUAUGCAAGAGAUAGUGAAUGCUCUCUAUUACACAUGCAAUGAUAGAUACUUGUUGACGGUCCUUAAUGCUCACAUUUAACCAUCAACUAAUCAUAGAAAAGGAUCCAAAUGCAACCAACACCUAGACUUAGGGUUUUAUCUGACAGAAUUCCACGAGUUUUGGUGUUUGUCUAUUUCUGCAGGGGGUUAUCAGGAAAUAUGGAGGAAAGGCCCACACGUCGGGUUUACAUAGAGAUAUUAACGUGCCGCGCAAUUUUCUACCAUCUAGAAGACUCCAGAAGCCACGGGAACGAACGGGAGGCCGAUCGGGCCUGGGGGCAGGGCGCCCGCCCAAGUCCCUUGGGUGCCCGCCCAGCUACAGUAACCAAUCAGCUUCAACUUCGCGGAUCGUGCUCCACCGACCUAAAGGAUGAAGGAAAACCGUGCGAUUAAUGUCGGUUUGAUCCGACGGCCCAGAUUCAUCUGAAAAGACUAUAUAAGCAAGGCCCCCUGGCCCCUGGAGAUCAUACCUCUUCUACAGAAUCAAAGUUAGGGUCUCAAUUCUUCAUCCAAGUAAAGAGGAUCCCUCUAGUUCUUCUAGUUCUACCUCUAGUUCAUCUAGAUCAAGUUCUAGUUCAUCUAGUUCUAGUUCUAGUUCCUCUAGUUCUAGUUCUAGUUCUAGUUAGUUCUAGUUGUAAUCUAGAAAAUAGGGAGAGAGAAGAGGAGAGCGGAGGAGGAGCCGGAUUUGUCGGAUCUUCCUCAACAUUGUACUUUUGCAGCAACUGGUUCGUUCUUCAUCGUUCUCCAGGUUCUUCAAUUCAAAAUUCCUGAGUUCUUUAAUUACUUUUAUUUACAUUCAAGUUAUUUAUUGGAUUCCCGCUUGCAUCAAGUACUCUAGUCUUUAUAACGCUAGAGUAGUAAUUAAUAGAUUAGACGUGGUGUUUAGUCUUGCAAUUACCUGGAAUUGCACCCAAUCCUGCGGAUUGUUGUGGUAGCCUUAGGGUAGUGACAGCCCUAACGGUCGACGUAUUCCACCACGUUCGGAUCGGUGUUUGUAGGACCGUAGUCAGACCUUCCUAGCCCCCUUCUCAUCUCUUUCUGUGGUUAGUGCUCUGAUGUCCCGAUAUAGAUAAUCUUGAAGUAAUUCUUGAUUCUUAGAUCAACUACAGAACUCUCAGGAAGCUUCCUCUCUUCCCACCAAAAAUAAUUAUAUAGUUAUCCUUGGGCGAUCUUUGAUCUUAAUUAGUACACUCACGUUCUCUGUGGAAAAUCGAUACUCUGGAAUACUCCCGGGUAAAAGCUACAUCGGUAUCCGUGCGCUUGCGGAUUUUUCUGUUUGCGUUUAAAAUACCCAACAAGCUUUCUGGCGCCGUUGCCGGGGAACGGUAGCUGUGCUAGUUUCGAACCAAGUCGUCCGUGUAUCCUUUUUCUUUUCCUUUUUUACCACACUCACCUUAUCAUUUUCACCAUACCACAUGGAUUUCACUCUAAGCAUUAAUGAGCAUGGAAUUUAUUUCAUAGCCACUUCAUUUACUCCAUGCUCAUAUGCAACAUCUUCCCAAUCCAUUGGUUUUUCCAACAUCACCACAUUCGAGAUCUCCAACCCCCUCAUCCUUUCUAUUUAUAAAAACUUUAAAAGGGCGGUUGUCGAUGCAUAUGUCUAUAUCAAAUAUUGCAGAUGUCGUUGAGUUGAUCUUGAUAUAGGUCAGCGUUGGAGGGGAAACCACUUCGCCGACAUAAAUUGAUGGUUUCCCAAGGACAAGCUUAGUGUCCUAAAACAAGCACUGAUCAGAUCGUAACAUGAGCUUUUAAUUAUUUGCAACAUUACCUUGUGUGUUGAGCAUAUAAGGAUAAUUGUAAAAACAUUCCUUCGGGUAUUCUUGUCACUAACCUUUCUAGGAUUGGAGCAAGAAGAUUGGAUGAAUGACAAGCACAAGGUAUGUCCAACCAAUCGUCAUACAACAUUGAAUUAAAUUCAUCCAAACUUGAAUUUUGCAAAAUUCAAGCUUGGGGGAGUACUUUACAUAAAAACAUCCUUUGCCAUAUUGCUAUGUUGGUUGUCCCUACCUUUGAGACAUGCUCAAAUUGUUAAAUACUAAUCACACUACUUCAUCUCCACUUGAGUAGAUCUCUAUAAAUGCUCUCAUGCUACCUUUAUUUGCUUUAGUAUAUGUUUAGGUUUGGAGUAGUUUCAUUUAUCUCUUAAUUAAGCAUGGUGCUUAGUUUAGGGCUGAUGAUCUUACUUCCAAGGGAGUUUAAAUUAAGUAUGAUGCCUAAGUUAAAAUGCCCUCCUAAAUCAAAUUAGACAUGGUGUCUAGGUUGUUUUUGAGCCAAUAGUAUGCUAUAGUAGAUACUGGAUAUUUUGUUGGACUAACCCCUGCAGGAAAACUUUCACUAUCGACCUGGGAAGUCCCGAGAUAAACUCACAUUGGAGACAAAGAGAGAGACACAUUUAGAUUAACAAUUUACACAAGGAAGGCAUAGCUCACAAGAGAUGAUCCAUGGAGGGUGCCACAAUCAUGAUGCACAACCGCUAAGAAAGGAAAGCUUCUACAAGGUGAGAUGGUACCAUCAUUCUUCAAUUAAGGUAACAUCUUAGGGUACUUGACUAUCACUUCUAUAAGCUUCUCCUUGGUUCUAGCGUUCACAUGAAUAAAAGAGACAAACAUGUAUGAUUUACAACUCUAGAUUAACCAACCCAAUCGGUUCAACAUGUUUAGUCCUUCCACCUUUGUGAUCCCACAAUCCUAAUCAUAUGAGCUAAAAUGUUGCACACGCAAUCUUUGGAAGAUAUAUAAAAAACAACAUAAAUAUAGAUAGUUUAUCUUUACAUUAGGUUGAGUGAUCUGAUCUGACAAAUAUUUUAAAUGCUACACUCAUGAUCUUAUUAUCCAUCAACUUUGUCUUGCUCACUAUGCUUAAGGUUAGAGAGAACAAAUACACUUUUGGUUCUGUUGGUGUUUUCCACCAACAGGGCCCAUGCACUUGAUCUCUGCCUUGUCUCUAUGAGCAGGUACACUUCGAGCAAAAUAUGAAGGAGUUUUACAACUCCUAGACUCUACUAAGUGAAGAACCUAGAUCUACGAGCACAAACACACUCGAGAUACUGGACACUCAGGCAAUCACUGCCCUGAGAUGCUUAAGGACAUAACUACUGGAGUAACCCCGUUGUAGAAGUAAUUACUGACCUUCUGUCGGUCAAGAGAGGCGAUCCAGGACGCCCCAUCAUCCCGAUCUCCAUCGGCAUGGUGGACUUCCCAGAAGCACUCUACGACUUUGGCUCCAGCGUCAACAUUAUGCCCAGGGUACUCUAUGAAAAAUUCUUUACACAUCCUUUACUAGAAAUAACCAUGUGUUUGCAGCUUGCAGAUCGGACACUAAGUUUCCCAAAGGGAAUAUUGAAGAACCUCUACGUCCGAGUUGGUACCUUGUACGCCCCAGCAGACUUCGUGGUGAUAGAGACUGGUACAGAUGAGAGGGCACCCAUCAUCCUAGGGAGGCCAUUCCUGAACACCUCAAGAGCUAUCAUCUACGCUAGUGCUGCCAAGAUCGGAUUCUACAUCAAGGGGAGGAAGGAGACGUUUUCCUUCAAGAACAAGACUACACAAAUCUCAAAGCAAUCCCGACAUGAACCAAGGAAGAGGAUCAACAGGGGGAACAGGAACAAGCAAAUGUGGACUGAGUCAGCUAAGAUGGUCACUGCAGCUCAAGGAGGUCAAGAUCGUCAUCUCAAGUCGCCUUUCUUGAUCAAGAAGGAUGACCCUGGUGUUCCAAGCAUCGAGUGCAUAAUCAACGGAUAUUCGUUGCAGAAGACGUUUUGCGACAUCGGAUCAGGCGUCAACAUAAUGGCCGCAGUCACCUAUCAACUCCUGUUCAGAACCAUGCCCCUAAAACCGACAUACAUUCAGCUCCAGAUGAUUUUAAGGUUAUUGACAUGGGAGAAGACGAGUACAAUACACCCAUCACCAUUGGGAGACUGUUCCUGAGCACCGUUAAAGCAAUGAUCUACAUUAGAACUGGCGGAGUCCACAUGCACUUCCCCUCUAAGAAGGUACACUGCUAUUUUACUGACCCUAACUAUAUAGUUGAAGACUCUAAGUAGGUCAGGACAAGAAGAAGAUGACGCAACCGCAACCAGAGGAGGAAAAUCAUCAAGGACGGAUGGGCAGAGUACGAAGGAGAAGUGCACCGAGGCAGGUGUGGAUAAAGAAGAUAGUUAUACAUGAAGAGUACGCGCCGCCGGAACCACCGACUAUGCCAUCCAGCGAAUUCCAGGAUGAUUGAGAAAAUGGAGAGUCCCGUUCGGAGGACUUAAAAACACCGAACGCCUUGCCUAGAGGUAAACUUGGUAGUUAUCUUUUUCCUUUCAUUUAUUUAAAAUAGUUUGCUUAGUUAAUCAGGUUCAUAUCACUUGAAAAGAAAAUAAAAAUUUUAAAAAUAGUAAGCCCCAUGUGAGUAUGCUCAUGACAUAAAACCCAUAAGUACAUUCACUGUGGUGGCGUAAAAAUGAAAUAAAUAUAUUCCUGUCCUAUAAAAAUAUAAAAAUAAAUUUAUGAUCCUACUAAAGAGAGUAAUAUUUAUUAGAGGAAGCUCAACAUGAUAAAGGCUAGAUAUUUAUGCUAACACUUAACUAGUUCCACAAAGCUUUGUUGUCUAUUUGAGCUCCACAGAAUUCAAGGAUCAAAGAAGACUAGCAGACGGGGGACAUCCUAAUCACUGUCAGAGUGCUACCGACAUUGAAAUACACCUCCACCACUUGCUAGCUACAUCAGAAGAAAUUACGUCAAAAUCUGGCUUGGGGGAGAGCACCCCAUUUAUCCAACUAAGUAUUCUACUCACAUUUAUACUUUACUCAAAUAAUAAAAAGAUGCAUAAUCAUAAAAACUCAAAUAAAGAUUUUGUGCUUAUAUAUAUCUCUUUGUUUAGUUUGCUAAAUAAAUAAAUAAAUAAAGUUUGCUAUGAACCCUCAUGAUAAGCUCUCACAUGGAAAUCAUAAAUAGUUGCUCUGCCAUGACUAGUUCUCAAAAUUGAAAUCGCUCACAAGUUUAGGCAUGACUGUUAUUAAUUAAGAUUUGCUCUAAACCUGAACUUGUGGGAAGAGUACUUGAUCUAAAGUCUAAGUCGUUAACGGAUAUGAUAUGGGAAGGUUGAGCUGCUGUUUAUCUGUUCCUAAAGAUGCUAGAAUUCUGGAGAAUUUUAUCUUUGAAAAUCUUUAAAAUAUCACAUGAUGAGUUCCUGUAUGAUGAGAGUUUAAAUUCCUACCACAUCCAUAUAUACAUGCUUACUAGACUUUGAGCCACACAUUUACUUUUUACUGCUUAUGAGCAUUGAGUGUGGUCAAGCUGUGUAGACCCUUAGGAGCUUGUCAUGUGGUUAAAUCAAGAUUCACUUGCACAUUCACUCACACCUGCUGCUUCUACUCCGGAAGUAUGCAUCCACAUAUAUCCAUCCAUUUCCAUCUCCAGAACCACCCAAAAAUAUUCUACUCCUAAUCCGGGAGAGAAUAGCCAAAAACAUUCUCCUAUUCCUGUUUUUCCCUGUGAAAUAAAUGCUCAAGAUAUUUUGGUUACUACCACUUGCUACAUUAUUCUAGGAGGAUGAGUGCUUUGAAAAAAAAAGUGAAUACGAGGAAAUAAAAAGGGGCAAGUGCCCAGAACCUCGAAAGAAAAAAAAGUGAGACGAGAGGUAAAAAUGGACAAGUGUCCGACUGUAGAAUUAGGGGUACAAGAUACCCACCUGAGAGAAAAGAAAAAAAAGAGAAAAUAUAGAGCAUCUCAUUCCCCUCAAAAAGUUUCAAAAGAGCAAGAAAGGUAUGUAUCCCAUUAAAAGAGCAAAAGUAGAAUUAGACAUUCACCAUUGUUAUCACCAUCAUCACCAUAUACUAUUCAUUCGCCACACAUGCACAUCUUGAUUUGACUUAUUGACUUGUUCUUCUGGAUCCAUGGUUUGACUAUGCAAUAAAUGUCUUGUAAGUAUGUAUUAGCUGUCUCCCACCUAUGAGCUCCAGAUAUCAAAACCUUAUUAGAGUAGGGUGAGAGAGAAGGCAAUGACACUAUGCUUCAUACCACAAAUACUACAUAUUUUGAGAGAAGUCAUAUACCAUCACUGCCUUGGUAAGAAUCCAGAAAUACCACAAAAGAGAGACUAGAGAGAGUCAUAUAAGGAAUCUCUGAGUUUUAUUUGAAAAUCUGCAAAAACUCCAGAGCUAUAGUUAAUCCAAAAACAAGAGACAUGGUGCUUGACUAGACCGUUCUAUCUUUUAACUACUCAAGACAGAAGUGAUGGUUAAAAGUCCCAUGGUGAAAGGUAAAAUGAGUAAGUUUUAAAUCUUAACAAUUUACCCUAACUCAGAGAUGAGAUCUUGUUUGAACAAAUGUGUAUUUUUAAGGCAUAAAACCACUGCAGAAACUCUUGACUCCAUCUUUGCUCAGGGACGAGCAAAGGUUGCUUGGGGGAGCUUGUUGACGGUCCUUAAUGCUCACAUUUAACCAUCAACUAAUCAUAGAAAAGGAUCCAAAUGCAACCAACACCUAGACUUAGGGUUUUAUCUGAUAGAAUUCCACGAGUUUUGGUGUUUGUCUAUUUCUGCAGGGGGUUAUCAGGAAAUACGGAGGAAAGGCCCACACGUCGGGUUUACAUAGAGAUAUUGACGUGCCGUGCAAUUUUCUACCACCUAGAAGACUCCAGAAGCCACGGGAAUGAACGGGAGGCCGAUCGGGCCCGGGGGCAGGGCGCCCGCCCAAGUCCCUUGGGUGCCCGCCCAGCUACAGUAACCACAGCUUCAACUUCGCGUAUCGUGCUCCACCGACCUAAAGGAUCAAGGAAAACCGUGCGAUUAAUGUCGGUUUGAUCCGACGGCCCAGAUUCAUCUGAAAAGACUAUAUAAGCAAGGCCCCUGGCCCCUGGAGAUCAUACCUCUUCUAUAGAAUCAAAGUUAGGGUUUCAAUUCUUCAUCCAAGUAGAGAGGAUCCCUCUAGUUCUUCUAGUUCUACCUCUAGUUCAUCUAGAUCUAGUUCUAGUUCAUCUAGUUCUAGUUCUAGUUCCUCUAGUUCUAGUUCUAGUUAGUUCUACUUGUAAUCUAGAAAAUAGGGAGAGAGAAGAGG